rnacentral:rRNA from 1 species
UACGAAGGGGGCUAGCGUUGCUCGGAAUCACUGGGCGUAAAGGGUGCGUAGGCGGGUCUUUUAAGUCAGGGGUGAAAUCCUGGAGCUCAACUCCAGAACUGCCUUCGAUACUGCGGGUCUCGAGUCCGGGAGAGGUGAGUGGAAUUCCUAGUGUAGAGGUGAAAUUCGUAGAUAUUAGGAAGAACACCAGUGGCGAAGGCGGCUCACUGGCCCGGUACUGACGCUGAGGCGCGAAAGCGUGGGGAGCAAACAGG